UACGUAGGUGGCGAGCGUUGUCCGGAUUUACUGGGCGUAAAGGGCGUGCAGGCGGUUUGUUAAGUGCAGGGUGAAAGCUCCCGGCUCAACUGGGAGAGGUCCUUGCAUACUGGCGAACUCGAGGGAGGCAGAGGAAAGUGGAAUUCCCGGUGUAGUGGUGAUAUGCGUAGAUAUCGGGAGGAACACCUGUGGCGAAGGCGGCUUUCUGGACCGGCAUUGACGCUGAUGCGCGAAAGCCAGGGGAGCAAACGGG
rnacentral:rRNA from 1 species